UCCUGGGCGUGCGCGCGGUCGCCUCCUCCUCGGGAGUUUGGGGCGUUUCGGUCGCGGACUGUGGCCGGGCCGCGGAGCGUCGGGGCAGGAGGAGGGAGCCCGGAGGCCGGGAAUGAUGGAAAUUUUAAUUUUCCUGUGAAACUUUGCUGCAGUGGGAUCAAGAGAGGACCCUAGGAUAUGGACAUGAGUGAUCAGCCCUUCAAGUGACAGACUGUAUAAAAGGAAGCUCCAGGAAAUCAGGGCCUCUGGCCUGGCUGCCUUUGCUACUCACUGGUGCAUGCUUCCACCCUAUUGCUGCUGUCAUUCAUGGACA